UUCUAUAAAACAAUUUGAACUCUUCAAAAAAUGCCAAGGUCAAAAAAGACUGAGGAACUGUUUCAGAUUAAAAGAGGCUAAAGAGUAAAGAGACAGCCCAGCAGACGUGGCUGGUUCGAUUCCUGAUCAGGGCACAUGCCUGGGUUGCAGGCUCCAUCCCCAGUAGGGGUGUGGAGGAGGCAGCUGAUCAAUGAUUCUCUCUCAUCAUUGAUGUUUCUAUCUCUCUGACCCUCUCCAUCUCUGAAAUCAAUAGAAUAUAUAAGAAAAAAAAAAAAGAUUAAAGAGACAGGAUGACUAAGUGGAGCAUAGGGUCCUAGACUGGAUCCUGUAUGACUACUGGCACAAUGGAGGAAAAUCAUGGGUCAAUAGAUUAAUAUAUUGUAUCAAUGUUCAAUUUCCUGAAUUUGAUAAGUGCACUGUGGUCAUA